rnacentral:lncRNA from 1 species
GGUAGAAACCCAGCCCUGCAUGCCCCAAACUCCCCAUCGACCCCUCAUCCUCAAGACUGGCAGCAAGUUCACCGUCCGAACAAGGCUGCUGGUGAGACUCCAGGAAGGCAAUGAGUCACUGACUGUGGAAGUCUCCAUUGACAGGAAUCCUCCUCAAUUACAAGGGUAGGUGCUUGACAAGGACACUGCAAACAUCUGUACAGUGUAUGACCUGCAGAACCACAUUCGGCAGCCCUGGUGGCACAAACAAGGAAGAGGGGGAUUUGGGAUAUGGACAAAGGGAGAUGGCGAGAUCUGAAAUGAAGUGGAACUUCUGUUUUUUUUUUUCUGCUGAGUUUUUAGAAUAAUUCCAUUCCUUGUCUCCAUGUAUCUUCCUCCUGGAACAGCUUCCGGAAGUUCAACAUUCUGACUUCAAACCAGAAAACUUUGACCCCCGAGAAGGGGCAGAGUCAGGGUUUGAUUUGGGACUUUGGUUACCUGGUAAGAAUAGUUUGUGACCUAUGCUUUUAUUACUAUUUUUAUUUUUUUGAGACGGAGUCUCACUCUGUCCCCCAGGCUGGAGUGCAGUGGUGCCAUCUUGGCUCACAGCAACCUCCGCCUCCCGGGUUCAAGCAAUUCUUCUGUCUCAGCCUCCUGAGUAGCUGAGACUAUAGGCACACACCACCAUGCCCGGCUAAUUUUUGUAUUUUUAGUAGAGAUAGGGUUUCACCAUAUUGG